AGUAAAAAUUAGUCGCUGAAGCACUUUUUUUAGCUGUUUGCUUCCGGUUCUACUGCUGAUUUCCACAAGAUGGAAGCAGAAGGUAAAGGACCAGGCAGAAACCCAGAAACCUGCAGAGACUGGGCUUCUGAGGUCCUUCAUGGUAUGUCCAUCCAUCCAUUUUCUUAACCGCUUACUCCCUAGUGCGGGGUCACGGGGGUGCUGGAGCCUAUCCCAGCUGGCUACGGGCGAGAGGCAGGGUCCACCCUGGACAGGUCGCCAGUCCAUCGCAGGGCAACACAGAACAACCUCACUGGUCACUCACACCUACGGGCAAUGGAGAGAAGCCAAUCAACCUAAUGCACGUCUUUGGACUGUGGGAGGAAGCCGGAGAACCCGGAGAGAACCCACGUAAACACGGGGAGAACGUGCAAACUCCACACAGAAAGGCACCAGAAUCGAACCCAGAACCUUCUUGCUGUGAGGCGACAGUGCUACCCACCGCACCACUGUGCCGCCCUUUCAUGUAUCCCAGUGAGUUCUGAAGAAAAGUAGGAUCAAGUCACGGAAAACCCAGCUGGACAGAGUCAGAACUUGGACCCAGGAGGCAGCUAACUGCUAAUGGAAGCUGUGAUUAUUCAGUUACUUUUAAAGUUUUAAUGUUGGAGGCUGCAUUGUGUGAUGUCACAAAUACACCUGUUAAGUGAUUGAUCAGAGAGCAGCUCUGUGUUCACACGCUGCUUUAAAACCUUAUUUGAUCUGAACAAGACGAUGUGGAGACACCUCGACCUCUACUGGGACUCCCACAUCAGCACAAGGUUGAUCAGAACCCAACAGGAAGUGUCAAUGCUUAGCAGCUACAGGAGAAUUUCUGAUGCCAUAGAGUCACAUGAUUUCAGCUGCUUCCUUAAAAGAAGAAAGACUGGUUCAGUCACUGUAAAGUUUCAUCUGCAACAACCAAAGACUCGCUCCACUCAUUGUACCAGAAACCCACUGAGCCCCAUCAGUGCCAAACCUUUUAGGCGGUGGAGGUCGGUUGAACCUAGUACAUACAGGUGCCGGUCAACACAGCGUCUGAAGACGGUGGACCUCUGGACCUUGACCAGAACCAGAACAUAGAACCAGAACAAUAUUAAUAGUAGAGAAAAUGUUGUUGUUCAUUUACUGAAGAUUGAUUUUUAAAUCAGGACGUCCACAUUUGACUGGAGUGUAUUUAUUAACACAAUGAUCAUUAAUAACAUUAGCAAUUUCCUGUCAUAUCAAUGCUUCUUAGAUUUUAUUGCAGAGAAUAAUCAGUUAUAAAAAAUAUUCACACAUCGACAGAGUUUCAGAACUUAUUUUAUUGGCCGUCCCCCAAAUGUUCUAAAUAGAAAUGACACAGACUCCGGGGAAAAAAACAGGACAUGUUUUUCCACUGCAGCGACUCGACAGCUAGAAGUUUGUCAGGUUCUGAAACAGACAAAAUCUAACUGGUCUCGAGUCGAAGCCUGAGUAACGCCAGUCUCUUCUUCAAUUAUUGCCACUUUAGUUAGAGCUUGACAGUUUUUGUAGUUUUUGUAGUUUUGUUACAAACUGCAGACUAAGUUGAUGCUGUUUGUGUUUUGUAGAGGACAAAGAACAUUGAUUCAAAAGGUGUCAAGUAUCUGUUAACAGUUUUUGUAAUGUGGAUCCACUAGUUUCCUGCCUUUUCACUAAACUUUGAAAUGUGACAAAAAUUGUAGAAUCUGUUUCUUCAGCGUUUCUACACGAGCUACAAUG